rnacentral:sRNA from 1 species
UAGUAGGUAUAAGUAACGAUAAAGGGGGCGGGAAAACCCCCUCGCCGAAAGACUAAGGUUUCCUGAUCAACGCUAAUCGGAUCAGGGUAAGUCGGGGACCUAAGGGCUCAGCCUAACGGCGAGGCCGAUGGCAGAACGGUAAAGAUUCCGUUACUACUUUCAAUGGUGAUGUGGAGACGCAGUAGUGACACCGCCGCCGGCUGACGGAAUAGCCGGUUAAAGAGUGUGGACGUCGAUUCCCGCAGGCAAAUCCACGGGAAGAGUCGAACUUGACAGUAUGGAACGUCCUUCGGGACAAUCCAACAGUGCGGGUAAUCAUGCUGCCGAGAAAAUCCGCUAAACUUAACGUUGAAGGUACCCGUACCGCAAACGGACACACGUAGUCGGGUUGAAUAUACUAAGGCGCUUGGGUGAAUCACGGUUAAGGAACUAGGCAAACUGACCCUGUAACUUCGGGAUAAAGGGUCCCUCCUCGCAAGAGAGGGCGCAGAGAAUAGGUCCAGGCAACUGUUUAACAAAAACACAGGGCUGUGCUAAUAUGAAAGUAGAUGUAUACAGCCUGACACCUGCCCGUCGACGCGGCCG